UACGGGGGGGGGCAAGCGUUGUUCGGAAUUACUGGGCGUAAAGGGCUCGUAGGCGGCCAACUAAGUCAUACGUGAAAUCCCUCGGCUUAACCGAGGAACUGCCCUCCAAACUGCUUGGCUUGAGUCCGGGAGAGGUGAGUGGAAUUCCCAGUGUAGCGGUGAAAUGCGUAGAUAUUGGGAGGAACACCGGUGGUGUAGACGGCUCACUGGACCAUAACUGACGCUGAGACACGAAAGCGUGGGUAGCAAACAGG
rnacentral:rRNA from 1 species